rnacentral:rRNA from 1 species
GUGAGGAAUUUUCCGCAAUGGGCGAAAGCCUGACGGAGCAAUGCCGCGUGAAGGAUGAAGGCCUAUGGGUUGUAAACUUCUUUUCUCAGAAAAGAAUUAUGACGGUAUCUGAGGAAUAAGCAUCGGCUAACUCUGUGCCAGCAGCCGCGGUACGACAGAGGACGCAAGCGUUAUCCGGAAUGAUUGGGCGUAAAGCGUCUGUAGGUUGUUUAAAAAGUAUUCUGUCAACGAUUAGGGCUUAACCCUAGAUAGGCAGAAUAAACUUUUAAGCUAGAGUUUGGUAGAGGCAGAGGGAAUUCCCGGUGGAGCGGUGAAAUGCGUAGAUAUCGGGAGGAACACCAAAGGCGAAGGCACUCUGCUGGGCCAAUACUAACACUGAGAGACGAAAGCGAGGGGAGCAAAUGGGAUUAGAUACCCGAGUAGUCC